UGGGGAAUAUUGCACAAUGGGCGCAAGCCUGAUGCAGCCAUGCCGCGUGUGUGAAGAAGGCCUUCGGGUUGUAAAGCACUUUCAGCGAGGAGGAAGGUGGUGAGCUUAAUACGCUCAUCAAUUGACGUUACUCGCAGAAGAAGCACCGGCUAACUCCGUGCCAGCAGCCGCGGUAAUACGGAGGGUGCAAGCGUUAAUCGGAAUUACUGGGCGUAAAGCGCACGCAGGCGGUUUGUUAAGUCAGAUGUGAAAUCCCCGGGCUCAACCUGGGAACUGCAUUUGAAACUGGCAAGCUAGAGUCUCGUAGAGGGGGGUAGAAUUCCAGGUGUAGCGGUGAAAUGCGUAGAGAUCUGGAGGAAUACCGGUGGCGAAGGCGGCCCCCCUGGACGAAGACUGACGCUCAGGUGCGAAAGCGUGGGGAGCAAAACAGGAUUAGAUACCCUGGUAGUCCACGCUGUAAAACGAUGUCGAUUUUGGAGGUUGUGCCCUUGAGGCGUGGNUUCCGGAGCUAACGNGUUAAAUCGACCGCCUGGGGAGUACGGCCNCAAGGUUAAAACUUAAAUGAAUUGC
rnacentral:rRNA from 1 species